GAAAUGCGAUAAGUAAUGUGAAUUGCAGAAUUCAGUGAAUCAUCGAAUCUUUGAACGCACCUUGCGCUCCUUGGUAUUCCAUGGGGCAUGCCUGUUCGAGCGUCAUCUACACCCUCAAGCUCUGCUUGGUGUUGGGCGUCUGUCCCGCCCCCGCGCGUGGACUCGCCCCAAAUCCAUUGGCAGCGUUCCUUGCCCCCUCUCGCGCAGCACAUUGCGCUUCUCGAGGGCGGCUCCGGGACGCGAUCCAGCAAGAUGACCACCGUCUUUGACCUCGGAUCAGGUAGGGAUACCCGCUGAACUUAAGC
rnacentral:misc_RNA from 1 species